rfam:Nomascus leucogenys chromosome 13, whole genome shotgun sequence.
GCUGGGCACAGUGGUGUGAGCCAGAAGUCCCAGCUACUCGGGAGGCUGAGGCAGGAGGAUCACUUGAGUCCAAGAGUUCUGGGUUGUAGUGUGCUGUGUCAAUCGGGUAUCUACACUAAGCUCAGUGUCAACAUGGUGAUCUCCCUGGGAGAGGGGAACCACCAGGUUGCCUAAGGAGGGCUGAAAUGGCCCAGAUCAGAAACAGAGCAGGUCAAAACUCCCGUGCUGAUCCGGUAGUGGGGUCACUCCUGUAAAUAGCCACAGCGCUCCAGCCUGGGCAACAUAGCGAGACCCUGUCUCUA